rnacentral:rRNA from 1 species
UACGUAGGGGGCUAGCGUUGUCCGGAUUUAUUGGGCGUAAAGAGCGUGUAGGCGGCCAGGUAGGUCUGCUGUGAAAACUCGAGGCUCAACCUCGAGACGCCGAUGGAAACCAUCUAACUAGAGUCCGGAAGAGGAGAAUGGAAUUCCUGGUGUAGCGGUGAAAUGCGCAGAUAUCAGGAAGAACACCCGUGGCUAAGGCGGCUCUCUAGUACGGUACUGACGCUGAGACGCGAAAGCGUGGGGAGCGAACAGG